CUGUUUCUAUAGCAAUUUGGAAGCUUUAUGUGUAGGAAAGCAUUCUUCCAGAACGAUAUGAAGGCUGGGAUAAAUAUUGGGGCAUAAAUCUUUUUGAGUGAUUUCAGAUGGGAAGAAGCAGGCAAGCUCCAGACAUUCAUCUGUGCAGUCAGAAUAGCACUCAGACAGCAAAUGGAAUUGGAAGAAUUUAAAAGAAGAGGUGGUUGCUUCUUAGUACCUGUCAGCGGAAGAUUUCACUCUGAAGUACACAAUCCACACAUCACUUUUCUUCCUGCAUUCAAUCUGCUUUCAACUGCAGAAGAACAGAGAACUGGUGCUGCUGUUCCUGUUGGAAUCAUAUCUGCCAUCCUACUAUUAACAAGUGGGACAACAAGUCCUCACUCUCAUAAGAUUUCCUGUCUCCCCAGAUGAGUGAAAACAAGAACUCAGCCAAUGAGACCAGAGUUACAUUUCAGCCUAGCAGUCCAGCAACUUAGUCCUCCAAAGUUUCUGUGCAAUAGCUAACUUUUGGCUUGAAUGAAAUG